rnacentral:rRNA from 1 species
GGGAAACGAAGUGGGAAGGCUUAGACAGCUAGGAUGUUGGCUUAGAAGCAGCCAUCAUUUAAAGAAAGCGUAAUAGCUCACUAGUCGAGUCGGCCUGCGCGGAAGAUGUAACGGGGCUAAAAUUAGUCACCGAAGCUGCGGCAUCAGGCGUAUCACUAAUACGCCUUACGAUUAACAACUUGCGAAACGAAGAGAAGCAAGUUGGUCAAGCGCCAAACACGUUGAGACGGAAGUCAUGACGGGAAGUGCGGUUGGGAAUUGAGGAAUAUUAGUGAUACGCCUGUUGGGUAGGGGAGCGUUGUGUAAGCGGAAGAAGGUGUAUUGAGAGGUAUGCUGGACGUAUCACAAGUGCGAAUGCUGACAUAAGUAACGAUAAAACGGGUGAAAAACCCGUUCGCCGGAAGACCAAGGGUUCCUGUCCAACGUUAAUCGGGGCAGGGUGAGUCGGCCCCUAAGGCGAGGCUGAAAAGCGUAGUCGAUGGGAAACGGGUUAAUAUUCCCGUACUUGGUAAAGCUGCGAUGUGGGGACGGAGCAGGUUAGGUUAGCGUGCUGUUGGAUAUGCACGUUUAAGUUGGUAGGUGGGGAGCUUAGGCAAAUCCGGGUUCCUGUUAACACUGAGAGAUGAUGACGAGGCCUUAAGGGGCUGAAGUAACUGAUACCAUACUUCCAGGAAAAGCCACUAAGCGAAAGGCUUUACUAAACCGUACUGAAAACCGACACAGGUGGUCAGGUAGAGAAUACUCAGGCGCUUGAGAGAACUCGGGUGAAGGAACUAGGCAAAAUAGCACCGUAACUUCGGGAGAAGGUGCGCCGGCGUAGAUUGUAAGGGCUUGCCCCUGAAGGUUGAACCGGUCGAAGAUACCAGCUGGCUGCAACUGUUUAUUAAAAACACAGCACUCUGCAAACACGAAAGUGGAGGUAUAGGGUGUGAUGCCUGCCCGGUGCUGGAAGGUUAAUUGAUGGUGUAAUCGCAAGAGAAGCACCUGAUCGAAGCCGCAGUAAACGGCGGCCGUAACUAUAACGGUCCUAAGGUAGCGAAAUUCCUUGUCGGGUAAGUUCCGACCUGCACGAAUGGCAUAAUGAUGGCCAGGCUGUCUCCACCCGAGACUCAGUGAAAUUGAAAUCGCCGUGAAGAUGCGGUGUACCCGCGGCUAGACGGAAAGACCCCGUGAACCUUUACUAUAGCUUGACACUGAACAUUGAAUUUUGAUGUGUAGGAUAGGUGGGAGACUGAGAAGCGAGCACGCUAGUGCUUGUGGAGUCGACGUUGAAAUACCACCCUUUAACGUUUGAUGUUCUAACGAGGCAUCGAUUACAGGUGUUCGGACAGUGUCUGGUGGGUAGUUUGACUGGGGCGGUCUCCUCCCAAAGGAUAACGGAGGAGCACGAAGGUUUGCUAAUCACGGUCGGACAUCGUGAGGUUAGUGCAAUGGUAUAAGCAAGCUUAACUGCGAGACGGACAGGUCGGGCAGGUACGAAAGUAGGUCAUAGUGAUCCGGUGGUUCUGCAUGGAAGGGCCAUCGCUCAACGGAUAAAAGGUACUCCGGGGAUAACAGGCUGAUACCGCCCAAGAGUUCAUAUCGACGGCGGUGUUUGGCACCUCGAUGUCGGCUCAUCACAUCCUGGGGCUGAAGUAGGUCCCAAGGGUAUGGCUGUUCGCCAUUUAAAGUGGUACGCGAGCUGGGUUUAGAACGUCGUGAGACAGUUCGGUCCCUAUCUGCCGUGGGCGUAGGAGAAUUGAUUGGGGCUGCUCCUAGUACGAGAGGACCGGAGUGGACGCACCGCUGGUGUUCCGGGUUGUGUCGCCAGACGCAUAGCCGGGUAGCUAAGUGCGGGAGAGAUAAGUGCUGAAAGCAUCUAAGCACGAAACUUGCCAAGAGAUGAGUUCUCCCAGACUUUAGGUCUGUAAGGGUUGUUUAAGACGAAGACGUGGAUAGGCGUGGUGUGUAAGCGUAGUGAUAUGUUGAGCUAACACGUACUAAUUGCCCGAGGGACUUAGCCAUACAACGCUCAAG